CAUAGGUGUAAAGGUUGAAAGACCAAAGCCAAGUGAUACUAAUAGCCCGAAGCUUUCC
rnacentral:rRNA from 1 species